AAAGCGUUUCAAUUACUGAACUGACACUCUUUUUCCCUUGCAUGUGCCUAAUUGGACGCCUUUAUUACCCGAGAUGACUGUGGAGGUCGCGAGACUUGCCUUAGAUGUCCCCCACGGGCACAGUGCGGCUUCCUCCACAUGGUGAGACAGAUGGGCACCGAGAACUCCCAAGUUUCGAAGAGCAUGACUUCCUGGACUUGAGGAACAGAGAGAGAACGUGAGUGGGGGAGGGACAGAGAGAGAGGGAGACACAGAAUCCGAAGCUGGCUCCAGACUCCGAGCUGUCAGCACAGAGCCGGACGCGGGGCUUGAACUCACAGACCACGAGAUCAUGACCUGAGCUGAAGUCAGACAACUAACUGAGCCAUCCAGGCGCCCCAAGCAGUGAGAACAAUUAAGAUGUAAUCUCUUAGCAACUCUGAAGUUCGAAUACAUCGUUACGGACCAUGAUCACAAUGCUGUGCAUUUCAUCUCCAGAACUUACUUAUCUACCAACUUUCUCACCUCCUGUGUUUUCAAUCGGUGCAUCCCUGAACUCACCAUGCUGGGUGCAUCUGUUGAUGAGGAAGACGGAGAGGAAGAGGAGCAAAAUGGAGAGACAGCUGCAGGUGGCAGCAAUUAUGGAUCUGGUGACUGGUGGGAGAGGAGCAGGUCACACAAUCAGUUUGGCUGCCCAGACACCCUGAUCUGCAUGCGGCAGGACAGUCAUCAGCAGCUAGACAAUCCGGCUUCUAAAGCCUCCAGCUGCUGCUUCCGAGCUGGACCUUCCGAUGUCUUAGGGGAGUGAAUCUGACUUUCCCUUUCCCCAUUCAAAGCGAGGAUGGGAAUAGUAGCUACUGACUGCACUGCAUGGUGGGGGGCGGGGGGGUAACCAGGGGGGCACUCCCAGAGAGGGCCUCGCCCAAGGGAAAUUCCCAAUCAGUGUGUCAGCCAUAUCAAUAAUAAUGAAGAUUUAUGGGGCGCCCGGGUGGCUCAAUUGGUUGAGCAACCGACUUCGGCGCAGGCCAUGAUCUCACAGUUCGUGGGUUCAAGCCCCGCGUCAGGCUCUGUGCUGACAUCUCACAGCCUGGAUCCUGCUUCAGAUUCUGUGUCUCCCCCUCUCUCUGCCCCUCCUCUGCUCAUGCUCUGUCUCUUUCUGUCUCUCAAAAAUAAAUACAUGUUUAAAAAUAUUAAAAAAAAAAAAAAGUCCCACAGCCGGGAUGGGCUUCAAGUCCUGGGAUGUCUAACCCUUCAGGCCAGGUGGCCCAGGGUCCGGGCAGCUCUGUGCUGGCCACUGGGUUUGGAAACCCCAGAGAAGUGAGCUCACAGUCUGGGCAGAUAUGCGUUUCCCCACAUAACGGCGAUGCUGGCAGAGGCAAGUCCCAUCAGGCAUGAAUGGAAGUCCCAACUCUCUCCCAGUUCAAGGGUUGUUUAAAUGUUAUACACCCCUGGGAUAUUAUUCAGGAAAUCCUACCAUCUGCAACAGCCUAUGAAACCUGGAGGGCAUUAUGCUAAGGGACAUGAACCAAAGGCAAACACUACAUGAUUGGAUUCCACUUACACUUGGAAUCUAAAAAAUUAAAAAAAAAAAAAUUUUUUUUUUAAAUUGAACUCAUAGAAGCAGAGAGUAGAUGGUUGCCAGGGGCUGAGGGCGGGGUAAGUGAGGAGAAGCUUCCAGUUAAAAGAUGAAUAAGGAUUCCUGGGUGGCUCAGUCGGUUAAGCAUCUGACUUCAGCUUAGGUCAUGAGUUCGAGCCCCACAUCGGGCUCUCUGCUGACAGCUCAGAGCCUGGAACCCGCUUUGGAUUCUGUGUCUCCCUCUCUCUCUGCCCCUCCCCCUCUCAUGCUCUGUCUCUCUCUCUCUCUCUUUGUCAAAAAUGAAUAAACUUAAAAAAAAAACUUUAAAAAAAAAGGAGUAAGAGUAUAACAAGUUUUGAGAGAAAUCCAGAGGUGACCCAGGAUGUGUAUAGUGAUUAUUCAAGUUCAUAAAAUACAUUACUUUCCUUGGUAUUCACUUUUUGGGGCAACAGGAACGCCAAUCAGGAGAAAUAUGUUAAUGCAAAUUCGUAACUGUUUAAAUCUAAUAUCUAACAUAUACGCGUUUUAAGUUAAAAUGGCACAUGAUAAGCAAUUUUAUUGCCAAUCACAUGAAGUUUUCCCUUUACGUGAGAUCUUGAAUUUACAAUGAACGUUUCCUGGCUACCAGGAACAGUAUUUUUGAAUUAUCUAGAUAUGUCUU